rnacentral:rRNA from 1 species
UACGGAGGGUGCAAACGUUGCUCGGAAUCAUUGGGCGUAAAGCGCACGUAGGCGGCGCAGUAAGUCGGACGUGAAAUCCCUCGGCUCAACCGAGGACGUGCAUCCGAAACUACUGUGCUCGAGUAUGGAAGAGGGUCGCGGAAUUCUCGGUGUAGAGGUGAAAUUCGUAGAUAUCGGGAGGAACACCAGUGGCGAAGGCGGCGACCUGGGCCAAUACUGACGCUGAGGUGCGAAAGCGUGGGGAGCAAACAGG